rnacentral:lncRNA from 1 species
UCGUAAGGAACUGCAAGUUUCAUGAUUCCAAAUUGUAACAAAUUCAUGUCCAUCAUCCUUAAGACACAUAAAUUAAGAUUACAAGAACAGUCUCCAUCUUUCUAAGAAUCAUAUGAGUUUAGUGUUAAAAAGAAAAUCAGAAAAAUGUCCCUUCAUCCUGUGCUCCACAAUUUUUUAAAGAAAAAAAAUCCAUUAAGAAAAACAGAACAAUUUCACUCUUCCUAUUUUUCCCAAUUUUUUU